GUUCUGUCUUUGGCAGCACAUAUACUAAAAUUGGAAGGAUACAGAGAAGACUAGCUCGGCCCCUGCUCAGGGAUGACACACAGAUUCGUGACGCAUUCCAUGUUUCC